UACAGAGGGUGCAAGCGUUACUCGGAAUUACUGGGCGUAAAGCGUGCGUAGACGGUUAUGUAAGUCGGGUGUGAAAGCCCCGGGCUCAACCUGGGAAUGCCAUUCGAGACUGCAUAGCUAGGGUGCGGAAGAGGGAAGCGGAAUUUCCGGUGUAGCGGUGAAAUGCGUAGAUAUCGGAAGGAACACCAGUGGCGAAAGCGGCUUCCUGGUCCAGCACCGACGUUCAGGCACGAAAGCGUGGGGAGCAAACAGG
rnacentral:rRNA from 1 species